GUACCUUCAAAGUGACAACACACGGGCCCUAGUUUAUGACAACUCAGGACUCAGAGACGGAGCUUCUGACUGGGAUGUAUAUUCAGCCACAGGAUUGAACUAGACAGUCAUCUGACUACAUUCAGGAAAGUUUUAAAUAGCUUGUCAGUUUAUCCCACAGAGCCUAACAGUGUAAACGGCCAACCUGAUACCAGACCUGUGAACACCAUCUGAGGGUGAGCAGGUAGGUUAUUGACCAAUAGUCCUCCAGCACUGGACAAUUUAAGACAACCCGAGCAUAUCCUCAAGGACAGCAAUGCUGACUGCAUUGCAUCAUGAUCACACCCAGCUCCUACCAGCAAGAAGAACAUCGGCAACUGCUCGUGGAAACAAAACUCCACAAGUCUACUUUUGAGGCAGCUCAAGUUCCUUUCUUAAUGGGCCAAGUAGAGGCUGGCCAACACCCUUGGACACACCUGACCUGCAGCAUCCUGGUGACAUCUCAGAAUGGCUGCAAGUGGACUUACCGGUGUUUUCUCUUCUUCUUCCUUGGAGGAGUAUCGACAUCCUCAGCGGGAACUGGAGCUAUGAUGCUGGACUCUUUGACCCGAAACUCAUACACCUGGACAAGAGGCACAGUCACAGCUGUGGGGAUCAUAGUGGUAUAACUGAUUUGAAAUAAUGGGUGAAGCCAGACCAAGCUUUGAACAAAGAAAAUUUAUCCUACCCGGCUGGUGUGGCUCAGUGGUUGAGCAUCAACCCAGGAACCAAGAAGUCACCAGUUCAAUUCCUGGUCAGGGCACAUGCCUGGGGUUCUGGGCUCAAUCCCCUGUAGAGGGCGUGUAGGAGGCAGCCCAUCUCUUUCCCCCUCUCCCUUCCUCUCUCUCUAAUAUCAAUAAAAACAUCAUUUUUUUAAAAUGUAUCUUAAAGUGCCACAAGAUUUUAAAAGAUAAAAGCUUAUGGUACAAGACCAGCAACAGUCAACGAAUAGAGAGCACACAAAUACUGAAGAAAUUAUUCUUGAGGUUUAGGAUUCCAUUGCUUUGCAUUAUCAGCAGUGCCUGGACCAGAAUGGUCAUCAGUUUGAAAACAGGCAUAACAACAACAACAAAAAAACUAUUCGUUUCUGUAGAUUCUUUAAGAUUUAAAAAAUUAACUGUACGUUAAUAAAGACUAACUUUAUAAUCAUUCCAAGUGUGUAUACUUUUUUGGGGACACAUUGUAUACUGAGUAGCCCUUACAAUCUUAUAAUGUUUCAACAAGUAAGUGAUGCCUCAAAUACAGAACUGGUGAAUCCAAGGAUCAGCACUGGAACAAACGUUAGUGAUCACCUGUUUCCAGGGAGUUUUACAAAUCAGGAAACAGGAACAAAGGCAAUAAUUUGUGCAAGUAGUUGUUUGGCAGCAGGUGUGACCAGACACACACUCCUCACUGCAUGGACAAAGAGAACAGCUUCACAUCAGACACCACUUCCCUGAAAUACUCACUUCUUCAGCUUGCUGUCAUGUGACAAAUGAUCAGAUCAGUACAAAUUAUCAGUUUUAUACAUUAACUUCUGCUCAAAAUACUGCUGUUGUCUGCUCUGAUUAGAGCUUGGUACUAAGAAUGAAUUCUUACUAAAUACUUACAUAUGGAAUCACAUAAAUUCUUUCGUGUAUAUGACAGAUAUCAGACUUUUACUAAAAAGUCCCUCACAGAACAACAAUGCCAACAUUCAAGCAUGGGAAAGCAGUGACAGCAGCAAACAGAAUUCUGUGUUCAAAAGCACACACUAGGAAGCUUUGGGCAUUAUCUCAUUUAAUUCUCACAAAAUGCCCAGGUAUUAGGAUCCUCAUCCCCAUUUCACAGACGAGGAAAACAGACUUAGGGAGGUUUAGUCACUGAGAAUUACACAGCAAAUAUGAACCCAAGUAUGUCUGAAGUUUUUUAACUAUUACACAGCAAAAAUACUAAAAAAAAAGUCAGCCAUCAAUUAUAAACUUGAAAUACCUUCUUUGAUAU